UUGGAGGGCAAGUCUGGUGCCAGCAGCCGCGGUAAUUCCAGCUCCAAUAGCGUAUAUUAAAGUUGUUGCAGUUAAAAAGCUCGUAGUUGAAUUUCGGGGUUCUACCGUCGGUCGGGCUAACAAGUCUGUACUGGUGUGUAGAAUUUCUACCUUCUGGGGAACUAUCAUGUUAUUAAUUUAGCGUGGUGGGAAACCAGGACCUUUACCUUGAAAAAAUUAGAGUGUUCAAAGCAGGCUUACGUCUGAAUACAUUAGCAUGGAAUAAUAGAAUAGGACGGUGGUCCUGUUUUGUUGGUUUCUGAAUCACCGUAAUGACUAAUAGGGAUAGUUGGGGGCAUUAGUAUUCAAUUGUCAGAGGUGAAAUUCUUGGAUUUAUUGAAGACUAACUUCUGCGAAAGCAUUUGCCAAGGAUGUUUUCAUUAAUCAAGAACGAAAGUUAGGGGAUCGAAGACGAUCAGAUACCGUCGUAGUCUUAACCAUAAACUAUGCCGACUAGGGAUCGGACGAUGUUAACCUUUAUUGACUCGUUCGGCACCUUACGGGAAAC
rnacentral:rRNA from 1 species